rnacentral:rRNA from 1 species
CCUACGGGUGGCAGCAGUGAGGAAUAUUGGUCAAUGGACGAGAGUCUGAACCAGCCAAGUAGCGUGAAGGAUGACUGCCCUCUGGGUUGUAAACUUCUUUUAUAUGGGAGUAAAAUGUUCCACGUGUGGGAUUUUGUAUGUACCAUAUGAAUAAGGAUCGGCUAACUCCGUGCCAGCAGCAGCGGUAAUACGGAGGAUCCGAGCGUUAUACGGAUUUAUUGGGUUGAAAGGGAGCGUAGGUGGAUUGUUAAGUCAGGUGUGAAAGUUUGGGGCUCAACCGUAAAAUUGCAGUUGAGACUGGCAGUCUUGAGUGCAGGAGAGGUGGGCGGAAUUCGUGGUGUAGCGGUGAAAUGCUUAGAUAUCACGAAGAACUCCGAUUGCGAAGGCAGCUCACUGGACUGCAACUGACGCUGAGGCUCGAAAGUGUGGGUAGCAAACAGGAUUAGAUACCCUUGUAGUC